CAGUAGCCGCGGGAAUACGGAGGGUGCAAGCGUUACUCGGAAUCACUGGGCGUAAAGGACGCGUAGGCGGAUUAUCAAGUCUCUUGUGAAAUCUAACGGCUUAACCGUUAAACUGCUUGGGAAACUGAUAACCUAGAGUAAGGGAGAGGCAGAUGGAAUUCUUGGUGUAGGGGUAAAAUCCGUAGAUAUCAAGAAGAAUACCUAUUGCGAAGGCGAUCUGCUGGAACUUAACUGACGCUAAUGCGUGAAAGCGUGGGGAGCAAACAGGAUUAGAUACCCCCGUAGUCCCUGUCUCUUAUAC
rnacentral:rRNA from 1 species